UGGGGGUUCAAAGUGACUGGUUUUGCCGGAAGAAGUCAGCUCUUUCACCAAAAAGAUGGCCGCUUAUUUACCAGACAAGUCCUAAAGGCAUGAAGGUCAAGAGUUGGAACUUAUAUAUAGAAAUAAAACCAGGCAAAACCAAACCAAGCUCACGAAGAGACAACACCUCUGGUGGUUGCCAGAGAUGGGGAUGUGGAUGAAAUGGGUGAAGGAGAUCAAAAGAUAAAACUUCUACAUAUAAAUAA